rnacentral:rRNA from 1 species
AUCAAGGGAAUACAACCCUACCACCCCCAGCACACCCAAUCUGGUUUCUGAUUGGUUUCUGAAGCUAAGGAGGGUUGUCCCUGUUUUGGACUUGGAUGGGAGACCACAAGGGAAAACCAGGUAUCUCCUGAUA